rnacentral:tRNA from 1 species
AGCAGCGUGGCUCAGUGGAAAGAGCACGGGCUUGGGAGUCAGCGAUCAUGGGUUCGAAUCCCAACUCUGCCA